rnacentral:rRNA from 1 species
UUCAUUUUCUGCCACCGAAUACAUUAGCAUGGGAUAAUGGAAUAGGACCCUGUCCUCCUAUUUUCAGUUGGUUUUGGCAGCGCGAGGACUAGGGUAAUGAUUAAUAGGGAUAGUUGGGGGCAUUAAUAUUUAAUUGUCAGAGGUGAAAUUCUUGGAUUUAUGAAAGAUUAACUUCUGCGAAAGCAUCUGCCAAGGAUGUUUUCAUUAAUCAAGAACGAAAGUUAGGGGAUCGAAGACGAUCAGAUACCGUCGUAGUCUUAACCAUAAACGAUGCCGACCAGCGAUUAGGAGACGUUGAAUACAAAACACCACCAUCGGCGCGGUCGUCCUUGGCG